AGAAAACGUUCAUCGUUGCCCACCAGGUGUGGAGUUCCCCCAGUGCCGCCACUCUGGUCUCGGCGCUGGAGAACGUCCGAGCGAGACUGAACGUCCGCGCGGCCGCCACGUGCGUGCCCGUGCUCGCGCUACACAACGCCUUCACUUUCCUGUCCAUUAGCGGGUUGAGACUGGACGAAUGAACUGAACAGGUUUUCUCCUCAACAAAUAAGAAUUCAGAUGCUUUAUUGCCGGUUUAUAAAAUAUAUUUGCUGAAUAUUUUCAGUGUUUAUGAAAAUUUUGUUAUUACGCUACCGAGUUUACCGUACUGUAAGUCAAAUUAUAUAAAUUAUUUUUUAUUGCA
rnacentral:lncRNA from 1 species